rnacentral:rRNA from 1 species
CCUACGGGAGGCAGCAGUGGGGAAUAUUGCACAAUGGGGGAAACCCUGAUGCAGCGACGCCGCGUGAGUGAAGAAGUAUUUCGGUAUGUAAAGCUCUAUCAGCAGGGAAGAUAAUGACGGUACCUGACUAAGAAGCCCCGGCUAACUACGUGCCAGCAGCCGCGGUAAUACGUAGGGGGCAAGCGUUAUCCGGAUUUACUGGGUGUAAAGGGUGCGUAGGUGGCAGGGCAAGUCAGAUGUGAAAGCCCGGGGCUCAACCCCGGUACUGCAUUUGAAACUGUCCAGCUGGAGUGCAGGAGAGGUAAGCGGAAUUCCUAGUGUAGCGGUGAAAUGCUUAGAGAUCAUACAGAACACCGAUUGCGAAGGCAGCUUACCAAGCUACUUCUGACGUUGAGGCACGAAAGCGUGGGGAGCAAACAGGAUUAGAUACCCCAGUAGUC